rnacentral:rRNA from 1 species
UCGCCUAUUAAAGCGGUACGCGAGCUGGGUUCAGACCGUCGUGAGACAGGUCGGCCUCUAUCCGCUGCUAGCGUUAGAAAACUGAAGAAAUUUGCCCCUAGUACGAGAGGACCGGGGUGAGAGGAUCCCUAGUGUUCCUGUUGUUGCUGUCAAGCGCACUGCAGGGUAGCUACAUCCUAAAGGAUAACCGCUGAAAGCAUCUAAGCGGGAAACCUCUUCUAAGAUUAGUUUUCUCAAUGAGACCCGUGGGAGACUACCACGUUGAUAGACGGUAAGUGCAAGUCUGGUGACAGAUUGAGCUUAACCGCACUAAGUGUCCAAUGA